UACGUAGGGACCAAGCGUUGUCCGGAAUCACUGGGCGUAAAGGGCGCGAGUAGGCGGCAGGCCAAGCGUGCGGUGAAAGUCCGGGGCUCAACCCCGGAUCUGCCGUGCGGACUGGUUUGCUAGAGCACUGUAGAGGCGAGUGGAAUUCCGGGUGUAGCGGUGAAAUGCGUAGAGAUCCGGAAGAACACCGGUGGCGAAGGCGGCUCGCUGGGCAGUGGCUGACGCUGAGGCGCGACAGCGUGGGGAGCAAACAGG
rnacentral:rRNA from 1 species